rnacentral:rRNA from 1 species
CAAGUCGAACGAGAACCCUCGGAUUCGUCUGGGGGGGAGAGUGGCGAACUGGUGAGUAACACGUGGGUGACCUGCCCCGAAGACGGGGAUAACCGUUGGAAACGACGGCUAAUACCCGAUAUACUCGGUGAUUCGGUUCAUCGAGUAAAGGCUCCGGUGCUUAGUUGAUUGGCCUGCUUCCUAUCUGCUUAAUGGUGGUGUCCUGGCCCACCAAGGCGAAGACGGGUAGGGGGCGUGAGAGCGCGGCCCCCCACACUGGCACUGAGAUACGGGCCAGACUUCUACGGAAGGCAGCAGUCGGGGAUAUUGCACAAUCGGCGAAAGCCGGAUGCAGCGACGCCGCGUGGGCNAUGAAGGCCCUUCGGGUUGUACAGCCCUUUUAUGGGGGAAGAGACAAGGACGGUACCCCAAGAAUUAGCGUCGGCUAACUACGUGCCAGCAGCCGGGGAAAAACGUAGGACGCAGGCUUAAUCCGGAUUUACUGGGCGUAAAGAAGCGUUGAGGGCGGUCCCGAAGGUUGGGCGUGAAAGCCCCCGGGCUUACCUUGGGGAGGUCGGUCAAUAUUGGGGGACUUGAGGGCAGCAGAGGGGGGGCGGAAUUCCCCGGUGUAGCGGGUGAAAUGCGUAGAUAUCGGGAAGGGACACCAGUGGCGAAGGCGGCCUCCUGGGCUGUUUCUGACGCUGAAGGCGAAAGCUAGGGGAGCGAACGGGAUUAGAAACCCCGGUAGUCCUAGCCGUAAACGAUGGAUGCUGGGUGUGGGGGGUAUAAGAUCCCCUCCGUGCCGAAGCUAACGCGUUUAAGCAUCCCGCCUGGGGAUUACGGCCGCAAGGCUUAAACUCAAACGAAUCGACGGGGGCCCGCACAAGCAGCGGAGCGUGUGGUUUAAUUCGAUGCUACACGAAGAACCUUACCUGGGCUUGACAUGUAGGUAGUAGUGAAGCGAAAGCGGAACGACCCUUCGGGGAGCCUACACAGGUGCUGCAUGGCUGUCGUCAGUUCGUGCCGUGAGGUGUCGGGUUAAGUCCCGUAACGAACGCAACCCUUGCCCUUAGUUACAUGUGUCUAAGGGGACUGCCCGGGACAACUGGGAGGAAGGUGGGGAUGACGUCAAGUCAGCAUGGCCUUUAUGUCCAGGGCUACACACACGCUACAAUGGCCGGUACAAUGGGUCGCCAAGCCGUGAGGCGGAGCCAAUCCCCCAAAGCCGGUCUAAGUUCGGAUUGUGGGCUGCAACUCGCCCAUAUGAAGCUGGAGUUGCUAGUAACCGCGCGUCAGCAAUAGUGCGGUGAAUACGUUCCCGGGCCUUGUACACACCGCCCGUCACGUCAUGGAAGCUGGCAACACCUGAAGCCAGUGAGCUAACCCGCAAGGGGGGCAGCUGUCGAA